rnacentral:rRNA from 1 species
AACGUAGGACACAAGCGUUAUCCGGAGUUACUGGGCGUAAAGGGCGUGUAGGCGGACCUAUAAGUCUAUUCUGAAAGCUCCUGGCUAAACUGGGAGAGGCGAAUGGAGACUGUAGAUCUAGAGUGAGGAAGAGGAAAGUGGAAUUCCGCGUGUAGUGGUGAAAUGCGUAGAGAUGCGGAGGAACACCAGUGGCGAAAGCGACUUUCUGGUCCUUAACUGACGCUGAGGCGCGAAAGCUAGGGGAGCAAACGGG